GUCACCUAGGGGAGUCUUAUUAAAAUGCAGAUUUUAAUACAGUCUGAGGUACCCCUGAGAUUCUGCAUUUCUAAUAAGCUCCCAGGCGAUGCUAA
rfam:Papio anubis isolate 1X1155 chromosome X, whole genome shotgun sequence.